CCGGUUUUCGCAGUAACUAUGUGUGGCCGGCGGAGGGAUCAUUAUAGAGUUGCAAAACUCCCUACAACCAUCGCGAACGUUACCCCUAGACGUCGUUGCUUCGGCGGGCUCGCCCGCCGGGGGGACGCCCACACAGGCUCUUGCAGUUACUGGCCUCUCUGAGUUUGAUUUACCAAAUCAGUCAAAACUUUCAACAACGGAUCUCUUGGUUCUGGCAUCGAUGAAGAACGCAGCGAAAUGCGAUAAGUAAUGUGAAUUGCAGAAUUCAGUGAAUCAUCGAAUCUUUGAACGCACAUUGCGCCCGCCAGCACUCUGGCGGGCAUGCCUGUUCGAGCGUCAUUUCAACCAUCAAGCCCUGCUUGUGUUGGGGUCCUGCGGCUGCCCGCAGGCCCUGAAAACCAGUGGCGGGCCCGCUAGUCACACCGAGCGCAGUAGCACAUCUCGCUCAGGGCGUGCGGCGGGUUCUUGCCGUGAAAGACCCCCCCUAAACUCCAAAGGUUGACCUCGGAUCAGGUAGGAAUACCCGCUGAACUUAA
rnacentral:rRNA from 1 species